rnacentral:rRNA from 1 species
UCAUUGGAGAGUUUGAUCCUGGCUCAGGACGAACGCUGGCGGCGUGCUUAACACAUGCAAGUCGAACGGAAAGGCCCUGCUUUUGUGGGGUGCUCGAGUGGCGAACGGGUGAGUAACACGUGAGUAACCUGCCCUUGACUUUGGGAUAACUUCAGGAAACUGGGGCUAAUACCGGAUAGGAGCUCCUGCUGCAUGGUGGGGGUUGGAAAGUUUCGGCGGUUGGGGAUGGACUCGCGGCUUAUCAGCUUGUUGGUGGGGUAGUGGCUUACCAAGGCUUUGACGGGUAGCCGGCCUGAGAGGGUGACCGGCCACAUUGGGACUGAGAUACGGCCCAGACUCCUACGGGAGGCAGCAGUGGGGAAUAUUGCACAAUGGGCGGAAGCCUGAUGCAGCAACGCCGCGUGCGGGAUGACGGCCUUCGGGUUGUAAACCGCUUUCGCCUGUGACGAAGCGUGAGUGACGGUAAUGGGUAAAGAAGCACCGGCUAACUACGUGCCAGCAGCCGCGGUGAUACGUAGGGUGCGAGCGUUGUCCGGAUUUAUUGGGCGUAAAGGGCUCGUAGGUGGUUGAUCGCGUCGGAAGUGUAAUCUUGGGGCUUAACCCUGAGCGUGCUUUCGAUACGGGUUGACUUGAGGAAGGUAGGGGAGAAUGGAAUUCCUGGUGGAGCGGUGGAAUGCGCAGAUAUCAGGAGGAACACCAGUGGCGAAGGCGGUUCUCUGGGCCUUUCCUGACGCUGAGGAGCGAAAGCGUGGGGAGCGAACAGGCUUAGAUACCCUGGUAGUCCACGCUGUAAACGGUGGGUACUAGGUGUGGGGUCCAUUCCACGGGUUCCGUGCCGUAGCUAACGCUUUAAGUACCCCGCCUGGGGAGUACGGCCGCAAGGCUAAAACUCAAAGGAAUUGACGGGGCCCCGCACAAGCGGCGGAGCAUGCGGAUUAAUUCGAUGCAACGCGUAGAACCUUACCUGGGUUUGACAUGGAUCGGGAGUGCUCAGAGAUGGGUGUGCCUCUUUUGGGGUCGGUUCACAGGUGGUGCAUGGUUGUCGUCAGCUCGUGUCGUGAGAUGUUGGGUUAAGUCCCGCAACGAGCGCAACCCCUUUGUUAGUUGCCAUCAUUCAGUUGGGCACUCUAGCGAGACUGCCGGUGAUAAACCGGAGGAAGGUGGGGAUGACGUCAAAUCAUCAUGCCCCUUAUGACC